rnacentral:rRNA from 2 species
UCCGGUUGAUCCUGCCAGACCUGACUGCUAUCGGAUUGAUACUAAGCCAUGCGAGUCAUUGUAGCAAUACAAGGCAGACGGCUCAGUAACGCGUAGUCAACCUACCCUAUGGACGGGAAUAACCUCGGGAAACUGAGAAUAAUGCCCGAUAGAACAUUAUGCCUGGAAUGGUUUAUGUUCCAAAUGAUUUAUCGCCGUAGGAUGGGACUGCGGCCUAUCAGUUUGUUGGUGAGGUAAUGGCCCACCAAGACUAUUACAGGUACGGGCUCUGAGAGGAGUGGCCCGGAGAUGGGUACUGAGACACGGACCCAGGCCCUAUGGGGCGCAGCAGGCGAGAAAACUUUGCAAUGUGCGAAAGCACGACAAGGUUAAUCCGAGUGGUUUCUGCUAAAGGAACCUUUUGACAGUCCUAGAAACACUGUUGAAUAAGGGGUGGGCAAGUUCUGGUGUCAGCCGCCGCGGUAAAACCAGCACCUCAAGUGGUCAGGAUGAUUAUUGGGCCUAAAGCAUCCGUAGCCGGCUCUGUAAGUUUUCGGUUAAAUCUAUACGCUCAACGUAUAGGCUGCCGGGAAUACUGCAGAGCUAGGGAGUGGGAGAGGUAGACGGUACUCGGUAGGAAGGGGUAAAAUCCUUUGAUCUAUUGAUGACCACCUGUGGCGAAGGCGGUCUACCAGAACACGUCCGACGGUGAGGGAUGAAAGCUGGGGGAGCAAACCGGAUUAGAUACCCGGGUAGUCCCAGCUGUAAACUAUGCAAACUCAGUGAUGCAUUGGCUUGUGGCCAAUGCAGUGCUGCAGGGAAGCCGUUAAGUUUGCCGCCUGGGAAGUACGUACGCAAGUAUGAAACUUAAAGGAAUUGGCGGGGGAGCACCACAAGGGGUGAAGCCUGCGGUUCAAUUGGAUUCAACGCCGGA